rnacentral:rRNA from 1 species
GGACGAACGCUGGCGGCGUGCCUAAUACAUGCAAGUCGAACGCUGAAGGAGGAGCUUGCUUCUCUGGAUGAGUUGCGAACGGGUGAGUAACGCGUAGGUAACCUGCCUGGUAGCGGGGGAUAACUAUUGGAAACGAUAGCUAAUACCGCAUAAUAGUAGAUGUUGCAUGACAUUUGCUUAAAAGGUGCAAUUGCAUCACUACCAGAUGGACCUGCGUUGUAUUAGCUAGUUGGUGGGGUAACGGCUCACCAAGGCGACGAUACAUAGCCGACCUGAGAGGGUGAUCGGCCACACUGGGACUGAGACACGGCCCAGACUCCUACGGGAGGCAGCAGUAGGGAAUCUUCGGCAAUGGACGGAAGUCUGACCGAGCAACGCCGCGUGAGUGAAGAAGGUUUUCGGAUCGUAAAGCUCUGUUGUAAGAGAAGAACGAGUGUGAGAGUGGAAAGUUCACACUGUGACGGUAUCUUACCAGAAAGGGACGGCUAACUACGUG